CAUUAGUCCACUCUCAGAGAUCGGGCAAAGUUGCGCGGCUGCGAAAACUAAUCCCAACAUUUGAAAAUGGCCCCAAUUUCACCAUCCGGCGGAGAAAACAAAAGUGCCCCACCUUCCAACCUCACCUCUCUUUCUCUCUCUUCUCCCCCUUCCUCAUCCGCCAUGGAAGACCUUCCAUUACUCAAGGUCUCAAUCUCAGGUCCAACCCUCUCUUCUCUCAUCAACCGCUUCGCCUCCGCCUCAUCAAACACCGAAGGCCUCCUCUUCGGCAAAUUCUCUCUCCAUACUCCAUCUCUCACCGAUGACGACUCUCCUUCCCCUUCUCCCCAUCCCUCCUCCCUCAUCGCCACCGUCACUGGAUUCAUCUCGUCUGGAAACUCCCCUGGUGACCUCGAUUCUCUCCUCCGCCGUAACCAUCACCGCCACGUCAUCGGAUGGUUCUCAGGUCGCCGGAGAUCGCCUCUACGUCCUUCCCUUCAUGAAUUUGCUGUCUCUCAGUCUCUCUCCUCCGCUGAUUCUCCUCGCAUCUUCCUCCUCCUAACGACUCCGUUUCACGAUUCCCAAUCCCUAAUUCACACUCACGAGUAUAGGGUUUACCACUUCGUGAAGUCGGGAAAUUGUUUCGAAGCGACGCCGUUAGAUGUGGUCAACAUUGGUCCGGCGUUUCGAGGGCAGUACAGCGCAUUUUCGCCGAACUCGGAGCUCCCCUGCUUGCCGUAUGAGUUUCAGGGCGGGUCUCCCAUGAAGGAGGACGAGAAGGAGAGAGAAAAUAUGAAUUUGAGGGAGAUGAAGAGGGUUGCUAAGGAUCAGAAGGAUUUGGAGGCUUACGCCGCCGGGUACGAGCUAGGGAGCUUGAGUAGGUUGGUCGGGUCAGACGCUGUGAGUUAUGUUGGUGGAGUUGAAGAGUUGUAUGAGAAGAUGCUUGCUAAGCUUGAUUGCUUGGCUAAUCAAGUUGAGGGCUCUUCCUCUAAAGUUCUUGAGAUGGAAAUACACAACAUGAAGUUGAGGCACAGAGUUGCUGGGCUUGAAUGAUUGGUGAUUGUCUAUAUUAUUGGACAUUUUUUGUUCGAAUUCCAGCCGCAGGGUUAAUGGCGAGUCUUUCCAGAAGUGGGAGACAGCUUUCAUUAAGGAGUGUUGCAGAAAAAUAGCAAGGGGCCAAAGAAGUUAUUAAGCUGGGACGGCAGAUGAAACCUCAUCAUACUGCAAGUGCUUCUGCAUAGCAGUUACUCCGAUUGGACGAAAGUAACGGCAUAUGCUUUGUUGUUGCGAUUGGAUUGAAGAAAGUGGUGAUAUUUUCUGUGGGUAUACAAGUGGAUAGAUCACAUUUUGGUGGUUGUCAAUUGUACAGCCGUUGAGCUCAGAAUUCAGAUACAUCAACAGCUUAUUGGGGUUUGUGCUUUUGUAGUUUCUGGUUCAGCUAUUUGCUAAACUUGAACUCAGAUGCAACUUGUUCAUUGUUAUAUCAUGUUUGAAUGUCUGUUACAUGUUCUGAAAAUGUAUGCAGUAUGUCCACAUCUUAGAGAUUCAAUGAAGGAAAUCUCUCCUCCAUACUGAAUUUCA